UGGAAGGGGAGGCAGAAGAAGAGCUGGACGUUUGAUGCUUGGCUCAGUAUUAGUUGGAGGAUUGUGGCGAGUGGAGGCACACGCUGACCUGCGGGAGGUGAUUACAGAUCCUCUGUACCUGUGCCCAGCCAUGGGCAGGGAUUAUCACACACUACCAUCACUAAUCCCCAUGGAAUAAAACCCCGACACUUUGAUGUCUGCCAAACAACCGAGACUCAGCAUCACGCACCAACCAUAAUUAACAAUCUACAGCUGGACCGGAGCCAGGCAAAGUGGUGGAGGUGCAAUGAGGGCUGGAGGAGACAGAGGAGGAGGAGAACCAGCUACAUGUGUAAGUGUAAAUGAACAUAUGUGGGGGUUGAAGGAGGCGGAGCCAGUUUGGAUGUGAUUCUUCAGUGAUCAAUAGAGGUCUGGGCUUUAACAACACAGUAAUAACCUGCCUGAAACUGAGAGAGAGACAACGUCCUGGAGCAUCACCAACUUCUGUACCUCUGUACCUGAGGAGCGCACACACACACACACACACACACACACACACACACUCUCACACACACACACACACACACACACACACACACACACACACACGCGCGCUAGGCAAACAUUCUUCAUGCCACCUACUCACAUUUUUAUCAGCGUGUACCAGUGUUCAUCACAACACGACUGAGUGAGUGUGUGUGGAUGAGCGCACUGGGCCCAGAACACAUACACCUCAUUUAAGAGGAUAAAACACCACGAAACCAAAGACUUUCAUCAAAGCAAGUGAGGAAGGAUGUCAGAGAUUUUUUCUAAAGAUGAAAGCGAGGGAUAUUCUCUCAUUUCGGCUGCUUGCUCCGUCUCUCUUUUAAAAUCCUUGAAGUAUCACAUCCACGUUUCUAUGACGAAUACAGAGCGGAGAGAGAGAGAGAAAGGGGGGUAAGAAGUUAUUUAUGUCCCAUGUUGUGUUAUGUGGUCUGUCACUUCUCAUUUUCUCCCCGGCCUGUCCAACUGGAAGACUUCAGUCAACCCUCUCCAAGCCUGUAUUUGCUGAGGUAAUUACAAAGUGACAGCUUCAAAUCCUCUGCCACACACAGACACACACACACACACACACACACACGCACACGCACGCACGCACGCACGCACGCACGCACGCACGCACACACGCACACACGCACGCACACACACACAAACACAGUUGGCGUAAGUUUCAGGCUUCAACUAAGUCAAACACGCAUCUCGCUCAUUUCAAAACCGACUGCACUCAGCAGAAAUUCAAGAAAGUACUGAAUAAUUAAUAAUCCUGAGAAUUAUAUAAUAUAAGGAAACGAAUGAAUGCCAGUGAAUCCAAAGACAUUUUUCUUGGCUAUCUGCACAUCCUGUAACACAUAAAAAAACAUGUGGGCUGCAAACACACUCACACAAACACGUCCAGCUUCCGUAUCCACUUAGAGGUGAUUGUAAGAACAUCUUUGAUCUCUUCUCCUUUCUUUUUGGAGGAGAUGCAUUGCCUGUACACAUAAUCCAUGACAGGUAUAAUGUGAUUUGGUAGUAUCUCUAAAUGGCAGGAAAACCAGCUGACAGAAAUUAAUAAGUUACAGCGGCAACGGAGGAGGUGGAGGAGGCGAGGCGAAGGUGGUGGGCUGACCUGGCAGCAAAACACACAGAAUCUCCACGUAUCGUCACGUAUUGAGCCCAAGAUGAGCUGUCUGCAGCCGCACGCCUCGCCGGCCUGUCGCCGCCGCUCUGGAUCACCGUUCCAGGCUCUGUCACAUGGUUGAGCCUUGGACCACAGUCAGAAAAAUGAGCUUGAGUCCAGAGCUGCCCUUUGAGGAAACACAUCCCCGAAGUCCAAAGAGGCUGCAAGCCUGCUCCGCUGGAAAGAAAGGGAUCGAGUGGAGCCACGAGGCACAUUCAGAGAUAUCACUGUAACUGUGAGCUUUUCUGACCGAACAAGUUACACAUGAAGUAAAAGUUGUUAUUGAGAACAAAAGCUAAUCAUUAACAGUACUCAGAGCUGCAGCAGGUCCCAGUCUGUUCUCCAGCAUCUUGAGACAAUCUGCUAUGAUGUACUUCUUAGGGUGUGCAGCUUUGGUGCCAUAUUGGACACUUUGCACUGCACAACACCGCCGAGCAGAUCGCAUCCACCCCUGCCUCCAUCUGAAUGAAGGCAGGGGUGGAUGCAGACGAUCGGAAAGAUCGUUUCCUGGCAACAGCGGGAAACGGCAACACUCAAUUCAAUUCAAUUCAAUUCAAUUCAAUUCAAUUCAAUUCAAUUCAAUUCAAUUCAAUUCAAUUCAAUUCAAUUCAAUUCAAUUCAAUUCAUAUCAAUUCAAUUGCCACUGUACAAGUGACAACAUCUGGUCGUCCUUUGGAGUGUGUUGUGUACAAACAGCUAACAACCUCUAAGUGCAGAUACAGUAAAUGAACUGGGAGCCAGAUGCCCCAACAGAACAGAAAGAGAGAGAUUUUCAAGGUGACAGUGCUGCUGUCCAGUGGACAGUAUGUGUGUGUGUGUGUGUGUGUGUGUGUGUGUGUGUGUGUGUGUGUGUGUGUGUGUGUGUGUGUGUGUGUGUGUGUGUUUGUGUUUGUGUGUACUUGUACUUGCAUCAAAGUAAGAGCCAAAAAAACUUAUUUUCCUACCAAAGUGAGGACAUUUUGGUCUCACAUCUUUCAAGACCUGUUUGAGGCUUAAGAUGUGAUUUUAGGGCUGAGGUUAGAAUUGAGUUUUGGUUCAGAUUAGAGCAAAAGUAGGACGUCUGCGUUUGGUUGUGAUGGUUAGUGUUAUGGUAAGGAGCAAGGGAAGACAUUUGGGCAUUAUGUCAAAGAAGGUCCUCACCUCCAUGGAAGUACAAGAAUGUGUGUGUGAGAGCAGACGCCAAGACGCUCAGCACUGAGAUGUUAUAAAAGCUCGUCAUAGUUUCUGUUUUUCAAAAGGAAACCAGUAGACUCUGUGACUGUCUGCCACGCCGGCACAAAGACAUUCCCUGUAUGCUCAUACUUAGAGAGGAAACAGAAAAAUGCACAUGGCAUGGCAAAAUCUAAACCAAGACUACAAAACAAAACAAAACACAGUAGAACUGGAAGUACAUGAAAUGCGUGCAAACGGAGCCUGUGAUGUGUUUGAGGUCCUGUCUUUUGUACUUUCCCUUUAUCUGCCACCUCC